GACAGAGGGUGCAAACGUUUGUUCGGAAUUACUGGGCGUAAAGCGCGUGUAGGCGGCUUCGCAAGUCGGGUGUGAAAUCCCACGGCUCAACCGUGGAAGUGCAUUCGAAACUGCAAGGCUAGAGUCCUGGAGAGGAAGGUGGAAUGCUUGGUGUAGAGGUGAAAUUCGUAGAUAUCAAGCGGAACACCGGUGGCGAAGGCGACCUUCUGGACAGUGACUGACG
rnacentral:rRNA from 1 species